GGUUAAGCGACUAAGCGUACACGGUGGAUGCCCUGGCAGUCAGAGGCGAUGAAGGACGUGCUAAUCUGCGAUAAGCGUCGGUGAGGUGAUAUGAACCGUUAUAACCGGCGAUUUCCGAAUGGGGAAACCCAGUGUGUUUCGACACACUAUCAUUAACUGAAUCCAUAGGUUAAUGAGGCGAACCGGGGGAACUGAAACAUCUAAGUACCCCGAGGAAAAGAAAUCAACCGAGAUUCCCCCAGUAGCGGCGAGCGAACGGGGAGGAGCCCAGAGCCUGAAUCAGUGUGUGUGUUAGUGGAAGCGUCUGGAAAGGCGUGCGAUACAGGGUGACAGCCCCGUACACAAAAAUGCACAUAUUGUGAGCUCGAUGAGUAGGGCGGGACACGUGGUAUCCUGUCUGAAUAUGGGGGGACCAUCCUCCAAGGCUAAAUACUCCUGACUGACCGAUAGUGAACCAGUACCGUGAGGGAAAGGCGAAAAGAACCCCGGCGAGGGGAGUGAAAAAGAACCUGAAACCGUGUACGUACAAGCAGUGGGAGCCUCUUAAUGGGGUGACUGCGUACCUUUUGUAUAAUGGGUCAGCGACUUAUAUUCUGUAGCAAGGUUAACCGAAUAGGGGAGCCGAAGGGAAACCGAGUCUUAACUGGGCGUUAAGUUGCAGGGUAUAGACCCGAAACCCGGUGAUCUAGCCAUGGGCAGGUUGAAGGUUGGGUAACACUAACUGGAGGACCGAACCGACUAAUGUUGAAAAAUUAGCGGAUGACUUGUGGCUGGGGGUGAAAGGCCAAUCAAACCGGGAGAUAGCUGGUUCUCCCCGAAAGCUAUUUAGGUAGCGCCUCGUGAAUUCAUCUCCGGGGGUAGAGCACUGUUUCGGCAAGGGGGUCAUCCCGACUUACCAACCCGAUGCAAACUGCGAAUACCGGAGAAUGUUAUCACGGGAGACACACGGCGGGUGCUAACGUCCGUCGUGAAGAGGGAAACAACCCAGACCGCCAGCUAAGGUCCCAAAGUCAUGGUUAAGUGGGAAACGAUGUGGGAAGGCCCAGACAGCCAGGAUGUUGGCUUAGAAGCAGCCAUCAUUUAAAGAAAGCGUAAUAGCUCACUGGUCGAGUCGGCCUGCGCGGAAGAUGUAACGGGGCUAAACCAUGCACCGAAGCUGCGGCAGCGACACUAUGUGUUGUUGGGUAGGGGAGCGUUCUGUAAGCCUGUGAAGGUGGCCUGUGAGGGUUGCUGGAGGUAUCAGAAGUGCGAAUGCUGACAUAAGUAACGAUAAAGCGGGUGAAAAGCCCGCUCGCCGGAAGACCAAGGGUUCCUGUCCAACGUUAAUCGGGGCAGGGUGAGUCGACCCCUAAGGCGAGGCCGAAAGGCGUAGUCGAUGGGAAACAGGUUAAUAUUCCUGUACUUGGUGUUACUGCGAAGGGGGGACGGAGAAGGCUAUGUUGGCCGGG
rnacentral:rRNA from 1 species